GACGAACGCUGGCGGCGUGCCUAACACAUGCAAGUCGAGCGAGUGAAUCUCCUUCGGGAGUGAAGCUAGCGGCGGACGGGUGAGUAACACGUGGGCAACCUGCCUCAUAGAGGGGAAUAGCCUUUCGAAAGGAAGAUUAAUACCGCAUAAGAUUGUAGCUUCGCAUGAAGUAGCAAUUAAAGGAGCAAUCCGCUAUGAGAUGGGCCCGCGGCGCAUUAGCUAGUUGGUGAGGUAACGGCUCACCAAGGCGACGAUGCGUAGCCGACCUGAGAGGGUGAUCGGUCACAUUGGGACUGAGACACGGCCCAGACUCCUACGGGAGGCAGCAGUGGGGAAUAUUGCACUAUGGGGGAAACCCUGAUGCAGCAACGCCGCGUGAGUGAUGACGGCCUUCGGGUUGUAAAGCUCUGUCUUCAGGGACGAUAAUGACGGUACCUGAGGAGGAAGCCACGGCUAACUACGUGCCAGCCGCCGCAGUAA
rnacentral:rRNA from 1 species